rnacentral:rRNA from 1 species
AGAGUUUGAUCCUGGCGUCAGGACGAACGCUGGCGGCGUGCCUAAUACAUGCAAGUCGAGCGGACCGGAUUGGGGCUUGCCUUGAUUCGGUCAGCGGCGGACGGGUGAGUAACACGUGGGCAACCUGCCCGCAAGACCGGGAUAACUCCGGGAAACCGGAGCUAAUACCGGAUAACACCGAAGACCGCAUGGUCUUCGGUUGAAAGGCGGCCUUUGGGCUGUCACUUGCGGAUGGGCCCGCGGCGCAUUAGCUAGUUGGUGAGGUAACGGCUCACCAAGGCGACGAUGCGUAGCCGGCCUGAGAGGGUGACCGGCCACACUGGGACUGAGACACGGCCCAGACUCCUACGGGAGGCAGCAGUAGGGAAUCUUCCGCAAUGGGCGAAAGCCUGACGGAGCGACGCCGCGUGAGCGAAGAAGGCCUUCGGGCCGUAAAGCUCUGUUGUGAGGGACGAAGGAGCGCCGUUCGAAGAGGGCGGCGCGGUGACGGUACCUCACGAGAAAGCCCCGGCUAACUACGUG